AAUAGAUACCCUGGUAGUCCACGCCGUAAACGAUGGAUGCUAGCUGUACGGAGUAUCGACCCUCUGUGUAGCGAAGCUAACGCGUUAAGCAUCCCGCCUGUGGAGUACGAGCGCAAGCUUAAAACAUAAAGAAAUUGACGGGGACCCGCACAAGCGGUGGAGCGUGUUGUUUAAUUCGAUGCAAAGCGAAGAACCUUACCCAGGUUUGGCAUCCUACUAAUUCUUCCGAAAGGAAGAAGUGUCUUUUUGACCGUAGUGACAGGUGAUGCAUGGCCGUCGUCAGCUCGUGUCGUGAGAUGUUUGGUUAAGUCCAUCAACGAGCGCAACCCUUAUAGUUAGUUGGUAUUUUUCUAGCUAGACUGCCCUGGUAACGAGGGAGGAAGGAGGGGAUGACGUCAGGUCAGUAUUUCCCUUACAUCUGGGGCUACAAACACGCUACAAUGGCCGGUACAAAGGGCAGCCAAGUCGUAAGACGGAGCAAAUCCCGCCAAAGCCGGUCUCAGUUCGGAUUGAGGGCUGAAACUCGCCCUCAUGAAG
rnacentral:rRNA from 1 species